AGAAAGGUUAUUCUAGUAAAAAUUAUUAUAAAAGUUAAAUAACUGUUUAUUUUAUUUUAUCAAAUUUCUAGUUCUUAAAAUGUUUUACCAAAUUUCCAUUUGUGUGUUUGUUAUUUGUGGAUUUAUGCCUGAAUUGACUAUACAAUUGCAUAAUUCUGAAGAAACAGGUUCUUUUGUGAAAAUACCUAAUACAAUAGUGGAUAAAUUAAGAGAAAUAUACAAUCUUAUAGCUCAAGAUGAUGAUGAUAACAUUACUAUUUCAGAAUUUAUGGUUGGUAUAACUUCUCUUUGCAUACCAUUAGAAGAACUAGCCAUUCAAAAUAUUCAUCGGAGAUGCAAAGAGAUUAAAAAUGAGUUAACCUUCGGAAUUUUCUGUGAUAUAAUUUUUGAAAACAUCCCAGGAAGCAAAAAUGUAGAAAUCCCAACUGAUGAUGAAGUUUUACAAAAUAUAUUUAACUUAAAUUCUAAGAAUUCGGAUGGAUUUUCUACUGCAACAUUUUUGGAAGUCAUAAAAAAGUUUGAUCCACAAAUCGACAUCGAAAAAAUAAAAAUAUUACUCAGAUAUGCAUUGGUCGAUGAGAAUAGUAUAAUUAAUCUUGAAGUAUUUAAAUUGUUGAUAAUGUUACUUGAAGAACAAAAUUUGUUAAAAAUUUAGAAUUUAUUGAUGUUGCAAGACACAAAUAUGAUAGAAGCAUAAGUCCUCCUUCAGAAGAUAAAAUAGCGAAUUUCAAAAAAAUUUAUCAUCGAAUCAUCAAUGACACUAAUAAUGAAUUAACUAUUACGCAAUUAAUGGAAGAUAUGGAAAAACUCAAACUUCCACAUGGAAAUACUGAUGUCGUAAAUGUACUAAACAAAUGUAAAGUACAUAAAAGGUAUUUAACAUUUGGAAAAUUUUGUGAAAUUAUAAACAAUAAUAAUCCAGAAAAAAACAUUAAAUCUCAUGAUGAAAUAAUAAAAGGCUUAUUCAACUUAUAUUCUAAAGGAACCGAAUUCAUUACUAAAAUCAGGUUAUAUGAAAUUUUAAAUUGUCUUGAUUUAAAAAUCGACAACCAAGAUUUAGAUGACAUCUUUAAGAUGGCUAAUGCUGAAGGAGAUGAUCGACUUAACUUUGAACAAUUUGAUAAAUGGCUAAGAUUUUAUGUAGAAAAGCAAUUUCCGAGAUAACAUUUAUAUUCCUUCAUUCAAUUUGUGAAUAUUAUGAAUAUUUAGUUUAAAUAUAUUUUUCAUUUCCAU